UACCAGCACCCCGAGUGGUCGGGACGAUUAUUGGGCCUAAAGCAUCCGUAGCCGGUCAUGCAAGUCUUCCGUUAAAUCCAGCCGCUCAACGGUUGGGCUGCGGAGGAUACUACGUGGCUAGGAGGCGGGAGAGGCAAGCGGUACUCAGUGGGUAGGGGUAAAAUCCUUUGAUCCAUUGAAGACCACCAGUGGCGAAGGCGGCU
rnacentral:rRNA from 1 species